UGGUGGAUUGAUUUGUCUGGUUAAUUCCGUUAACGAACGAGACCCCUGCCUGCUAAAUAGCUAAUCUAAUGUUUGUUCAUUGUUUUUAGCUUCUUAGAGGAACUUUUCGUUGGCUAACGAAAGGAAGUUGGGGGCGAAUAACA
rnacentral:rRNA from 1 species